GUCCCCUGCCCCAGCCUCCCUCGAGGGGCUUCGCUGCAAGAAAACGAGCGAAACAGUCCUUGGUUCUUGUCUGGGCCCUGUGAAGAUGCUUGUCCAUAUCCGAAAGAGAUCCAAAGAGACCCAAAGCAGGUCGGCAGUGUGAGCAAUGCCCUAUUGCCCUACAAUCCAAAGCUGUAUUUAUUUUCAGAUGUACAGUAAAAUGCUGAAGAAGAGACGGUUUCAAAUUGGUCCUUCAAUAGACCACCAAGAGUGUUUUAUAUUUCCUUAACCUUUAUUGAAUCUUCAUUACAAUUAAUGCAGACUGAAUUUAGCAAAUAUUUAACAGUUCCAACAGCCCAAGCUUCAAGAUUUACUAAGAGAUGCUCCUCUUCAGAGGCGUCUGUCAGAGGAGAAAGAGCAGGACAAAUCUCAGCAUUUAAGAUUUGUCAGUGCUGGUAUUUUCCACUGUAGGGCUGAAGUUGUGCACUCAUUGAACUACUUUGCACACACCAAGCAGUAGAGCAGUCCACAGAAAUGUUUCACAAUCUCUGUAGCAAAUGUAGGCCUAAGUCUGAAAAAUAAAAGUUGCUGGCACUAAAAUGCACCUUACUGCCCUCCACUGAACAUCUGCCAGGCUACAAUGGUCAGCAAAGACUGCUUCCAGAGGUACUGACCUGGAUGGCUCGUUGCAGAGUAGCUUUCCCUGCAGGAAAAGGUAGCAGGGUUUGGAGUCAAGGCAGAGACACAUCAGCCUCUUGUUGGGGUAACCUCAGUCAUCUUUUGUUCACAUACCCUGAGCUUCUUCAUUGCAAGAAACAGUUCAGCUCUAUGAUGGCAGUGAGUUUUUGAAAGGAAUCACUGGAAUUCUCACAGCCUGAGAAUUGAAUCUGGUGCCUUGGAUUCCUGCCUAAGGAAGAUACUGUUGUCCUAAAAAUUCAGGGAAAUUUUAACAGGUGAGGAUGCACAAGAAGUUCUUUGGUGGAUGCUGCCUCUGCUCUGUACGUUGAGAACCAUGCAGCUAAUGUGAGACAUUUGAUAGAGAAAAGUCAUGAGGAUACCAGGUGAAGCUCUAGCAGAUGCACAGUUUCAUGUACAAAAUAGUGUGUACCAGCUCCACGUGACAUCAACAUUUUUAAGAUGAUACAAGGAAAUACUGAAAUUGAACAGUUUCAGACAGAGAAAAUGUUCACUUGGAAGAUAUAUAGAAUCUGGUAUUUUCUCUGAAAAAAACCCUGCAUUUGAUAGGACAAAGUACAACUGUGUUAUGAAGAACAGCUUCUUGCUUUCCCUUACUGCAUCUGCAACAGUCCCUGUAUAAUGGGCCAUAAAGAUGUGAAUUCUGGAGCAGUUCACUAAAAAAUGUUGUACCUCUAAUAUCUCAACAUUCAGCUAAGUUAAGAGAAAUGGUGUCCAACCUCUGCAGAGCCACCAAUAGAUGUUAUACCAUCCUACCACCCCUGUUGUGGUACAGAAUAAAGUAAAAGAAGACAAAAAGCAAGAGACUAAAUAGAGACAGAAUGAGAAAUAAAACUGUAAAGAAUUAAUAGAAUAACAAGUUGGCAUUUUAGCAAAGGGUGGUGAAGGCUAUGCGUUCUCAUGGUUCUGUCACAAGGGAACUCUAAUACAAAGGUUUAGUUCAUAAAUAAGAGGAUGCUUUCACCAAUAUGCUUCACAACAAGAAAAGUUUGGCAGAGAGAUAUUUUAAGAGACAAAAGUAACAUC